AUGUAUCGCCGAGGGAGCCCGCACCUGAUUACAACUUACAAUGAGAGGGAGCAGGUGACGCCCAGGGAGCUCAGCAUCCGAGUCCCGGCCAUCCUUCGCAGCAAGGAUGAGGAGGGCGUCAAGGGCUGUUGCGUCGCCGGAGCCGUCAACAACUACACCUCCCAGCUCCUCACCUACGGAUCAUCAUCACAAUCGCCAUCUUGUAAAUCUUCCCGCCAAUAUAACCUGACGGAAGCGCUCUUGUUCCUCUCACACUUCAUGGGCGACAUCGACAAGAUGCUGGCCUUCAUUCAUGUUUUGUCGUGA
rnacentral:rRNA from 1 species